rnacentral:rRNA from 1 species
GAGGGGAUUAGUGGCGAACGGGUGAGUAACACGUGGGCAAUCUGCCCUGCACUCUGGGACAAGCCCUGGAAACGGGGUCUAAUACCGGAUACGACCUCUCGAAGGCAUCUUUGAAGGUGGAAAGCUCCGGCGGUGCAGGAUGAGCCCGCGGCCUAUCAGCUUGUUGGUGGGGUGAUGGCCUACCAAGGCGACGACGGGUAGCCGGCCUGAGAGGGCGACCGGCCACACUGGGACUGAGACACGGCCCAGACUCCUACGGGAGGCAGCAGUGGGGAAUAUUGCACAAUGGGCGAAAGCCUGAUGCAGCGACGCCGCGUGAGGGAUGACGGCCUUCGGGUUGUAAACCUCUUUCAGCAGGGAAGAAGCGAAAGUGACGGUACCUGCAGAAGAAGCGCCGGCUAACUACGUGCCAGCAGCCGCGGUAAUACGUAGGGCGCAAGCGUUGUCCGGAAUUAUUGGGCGUAAAGAGCUCGUAGGCGGCUUGUCGCGUCGGAUGUGAAAGCCCGGGGCUUAACCCCGGGUCUGCAUUCGAUACGGGCAGGCUAGAGUUCGGUAGGGGAGAUCGGAAUUCCUGGUGUAGCGGUGAAAUGCGCAGAUAUCAGGAGGAACACCGGUGGCGAAGGCGGAUCUCUGGGCCGAUACUGACGCUGAGGAGCGAAAGCGUGGGGAGCGAACAGGAUUAGAUACCCUGGUAGUCCACGCCGUAAACGUUGGGAACUAGGUGUGGGCGACAUUCCACGUCGU